rnacentral:lncRNA from 1 species
GUUCGCGCUGGUGGAGCACCCCAGCUUGCAGGUUCAGCGUGGGUGUCUCUCCCGGGCACAUCGAGCUGUCUAGAGGAACCCUCUUCCCCUGGCUUCACGGCCCAGAGGACGCACGGCUCUCUCCCCUCGAGAGCGUGUUUCGUCGCCCGCGCGGGGAACGCAAAGUGCUAGGGUAGUCACGGCCACUUCACGCCGAGGGACAUCUCAUCUCGCCCUCCAGGUCGUGAGCGCACCCAUUCCGCUCACUGAGGCCGAAAGCUUCGGACCUCCGUGGGCCCUGGUGGGUAAGGGGGCACGGGGGUGAGCGUUAAGAGACUCGUAGAACAUUUUUAGUCCGCGCGUGGCACAAGGCCUCCAAGCCCCACGUACACUUUGCAGCCCUCCCACUCCUUUUUCAUUCCUGCGGCUGAGCCCUGGUGUUAUCCGCCUGGGGCGGAAUUUAAAACUUAAUUCCUCAACAAAGUCGGGGUGGUCUUUAAACUGCAACCUUGGAUCCAAAGGCCCUACCUUACAAAGGGAAGGCAGUUUGCCCUACAAAAAGGCUUCUGGGAGGAGCUGCCUAAGGCAGGAAGGGACUGGCAGGCCGGGAGGUGCCGCUUUUGGCUGGGGCCAGUUCUCUUGAGGUCGACCCGACUGCAUAGGCAGCCAGUAGGGGAGAGAACGGGCCGGUCUGUGUGAUUUGGAUCACCUGAGUUGCAGUUUCCUAAGAGUUAUUAGGUUGACCAAAAAAAAAAAGUGCAGUUUCUGGAAAACUGGUCAGCUGUUGAGUAAAAACUGCUGGGAUUAAACCCAGCGCCCACCCCUGGAGGCAGUGGGGUCAUCGAGAAAGGUAGGGAUCCUGUGUAAAAAGGCUGGUGAAGUGUUCCUCUCUUCCAAAGAUGUAUGGAUUAGUGUUCUCUCACCAAUCCACUAAGGCCUGGUUCUGCCCAGCCUCCCUUGCUACAUCCCCUGGGAAUCCCCAAGUGGAGUGUGGGCAAAGAAAAAAAAAGGCCAACUUCCCUCCCUGGGCCCCAGGAGGGAGCUGACAUAGAAAAGAUCACCUCCUGCACCUCCCUUUCUCCACAAUGAGAUACCAAGUAGCAACCACCUCUCAACCCCCAGGGACACAAGGAAGCAUCCAGAGCAGCUGAACUGACCUAAGCCUCUCCUGCACCUGGACAGGGCCAUGCCACAGGAAGUGCCUGGCUGUUUAAGGGCCAGCCGGUGCAGCUCCGGGGCACCCAAGUCCUGCACCUAUUCAUUGCCCCCCUCCCUGCUCUGUGGUUCCCCAUCCUUGUCCACUUUGACCUCAGGGAUCUACCAGCCAAAGGAGAUUGGGUCUUCCUCCAGGGAAGCUUCUCACCAACUAGACAGCUCGGAGAGCAAUCUGAGGAUCCCACUGGAGGUUGAGUCCCUUGCUUUUCAAGCACCUAAAAUGCACCCAUCCUUCCCACUGGUUCCACAAUUUGUAUAGAGCACAGAUGCUGGCAUGAACUUAGGCCAGUUCAACAAAGAUGUAUCAAAUGGGGCAGCAGUGAGAGAUACUCUGUUGAGAGGACUCAUUGGUCUGGUGCUUCCUCUGUUACCUCAUCUUGCCCGUCUCUAAGGCAGAGCAAGCACAACAAAGAGGUGCUCAGAGCCAGAAGUGUCCCUGCUCCCAUGACCCACCAUACUUGGCCUAAUACAGAGCUUGACAAGCAAAGGACCCACUCUCUGGAACUUCCUAGGGAAUGCCUUACUGAUUUGUCUUAAAAUACACAGCCCCGCUCCAGAGCCUAUGACUCUAGAUACACCCCCCAGCCUGACGUGGGCCACGUGGGCUCCUUGGGGCAGACAGCCAAUCCUCUGCUCAACACAUUUUAUUGCUAAGGACAAGGUGAUGCACCAGUUUUCAAAAUAAUUUGGUUUAUAGUGUUCAUACGUAACAAAAAAGGGGAAGUAUUAUAAAUCUGAUUCUUGUAUACACAGGGUAUUGGUGUGAAGCCCUCCAAUCCUGGGCCCAGGCAAACAAAUUCUUGAGGAGCAAAAACCUGUUUAACCCCUUCAGUAUUGCCCUCUAGUCCCACCCCCCACCCCAAAAUCAGCUCCCUCCCACCUACAGUGGGCCUCCAAUGGCCCCAGUUUUUUCAUCCUAACCCUCCCAGCCCCUGCAUGAUUGCAAUUUUCUGUUGACAGAAUCACCCACCAGGCUCUGCCUGCUUCCAUCAUUAAAAUCCCCGAUUCAGGGUAAUCCCCACCCACACCCUGUAAUACUUUGCCACAGGGGCUCUGCACCUAGAGUGUUGUGGGCACACACCCAUGUUAUCCCCAUGUUCUCCUUUAGGGGAAGACAAAGAGGUGGCAUCAGCUCCUUAGCAUCUCAAUACUGCAGCUUUGCCAGCACUGUCUUGAGACGGUUCCAGGCCUGGACAGAUGCCACACCCAUCUCCAGCCAACCCCCAGGAGCCCUUACUCAGCUCAGCUGAGGGCAGAAUUUCACAUUUUGUUUGCCCUGCAUAGGCAAGGAAGAAAGUAAAGGCCAGGGGCUGGCAGAAGCUGGUCCAGACCAAACAUACACGCACGCACGCACGCACGCACACACACACACACAUAUAAAUACAAAAGUAGGGGUUGGGGCAAGUACCAGCACCUCAGCCUAGUCGGUGCAGGUGAUAGUUAUGAAGCUAAGUCCUAGGCCAGGAACAAGGCAGCCAGUCCAGCCAGCAUAGUUGACCCCUCUAUGGACUGGGGCCAGUGCAGCCACAGCAUUCCAGUGCUCAGCCCCUCAGCUGGGAGAUCAGCGACUGCUGCCACGUGCCCAGAAAUGGCUCGUCCUUUCACUACAGCGGAAUGCAAUGAGGGUGGGUGAGAAGAUGAUGGGUCGGUUAUUUCAUUCCUUUUCUUUUUACAACUUCACUUUCAGAGACUUCAGCGUUCCAUGUCUGCUGUGCUGUGGAACCCAGAGUGCUCUUGCCUGGAUGGCUGAGAAUCCCUUGGACCCUGGAAGCACCUACUCCAUGAUGGCCCGCAGGAGGACCAAACUGGAGACAGUCCUGGCUCUGAGGAAACAGGAAGGAAGGAGGGUGAAAGGAACGUCCACCUGCACACAAAGGAAAGAUGAAAAAGAGUCACCUACCAUGGGACCUGGCAAAGUACUUCAGAACUUUUAUUCCUUCCAGAAGCAGGUAAGUACCCCAAGUCCUCAUCGUAUUCCCAGCAUAGGGCUUGGUAUACGGGGGGAUAUUUCAUUCAGCAUAUUGGCUGAAUGAAAGGUCUGAUAGGUAUACCUGGGAGAAGGUCCUUAGGGACAUGGCUUAAAAAAUGAGAGAGGGGCAGGGCAGUGAGUCUAAAAGGAUGUGGAUGCUCACAUCUGCUCUUACAAUCAUGCUACAGUUCAUUUAUUGAGUGGAAACAGUUCCCUACUUAUUGACAAUUCAUUUACUGAAUAGGUAAUCAGUAAAUACAUUUUGUAUCAAUCUAACAAUUAGGCAUAAACUACAGCCUCCUACACCCAAUAUCUGAGGUGUUCUAAGAUUUAACUACUCAAAUGUUUGAUAUUUGAUAAAUUGUUUAAGUUCUCUGCAAUUCAGUUCCACCUCCUAUAACAGCACUUCUGAAAAUGUGGUCUGUGAACCUCUGAGGGGUUCCUGAGACACUGUCAGGGAGCAAGUGAGACAUGGCUAUUUUUAUAAUAUUAAACUAUUAGCCUUUGUCACUGUGUUGUCAUUUACCUAGGAUAGGUACAACUGCUGGCACCUGAGCACAGAUCAAGGCACUGACCCUAAGCUCUACUAGUUGUUAUUGCAUUUUUCACCACUGUACACUCAUAAUUUAGGAGAAAAGAGCAAAAACUCUAGAUUGCAUGUAACAAUAUCCCUUGAUGAAGCAGUAAAAAAUUAUUAAUGUUGUUAAAUCUUA